rnacentral:rRNA from 1 species
GAUGAACGCUAGCUACAGGCUUAACACAUGCAAGUCGAGGGGCAGCAUGAACAUAGCUUGCUAUGUUUGAUGGCGACCGGCGCACGGGUGCGUAACACGUAUCCAAUCUACCCAUGGCUCGGGGAUAGCCUUUCGAAAGAAAGAUUAAUACCCGAUGGUCUCGGUUUAAGGCAUCUUAGACUGAGUAAAGAUUUAUCGGCGAUGGAUGAGGAUGCGUCUGAUUAGGUAGUAGGCGGGGUAACGGCCCACCUAGCCUUCGAUCAUUAGGGGUUCUGAGAGGAAGGUCCCCCACACUGGAACUGAGACACGGUCCAGACUCCUACGGGAGGCAGCAGUGAGGAAUAUUGGUCAAUGGGCGAGAGCCUGAACCAGCCAAGUAGCGUGAAGGAAGACUGCCCUAUGGGUUGUAAACUUCUUUUGUUCGGGAAUAAAGUGCAGUACGCGUACUGUUUUGUAUGUACCGUUCGAAUAAGCAUCGGCUAAUUCCGUGCCAG